AAUAGAACGCUGAACACAAUAGUAGAAAAAUCGCACGAAAUGGGAAACAAGAAGGGGCUCAUCGAAGGCAGUUUUGGGUUUUGCCCACGGUAGUGCUACCGAGCUUUGCCCAUGGUUUCUGGCUCAUGCACCAUUCCUUUUGCUCUUAUUUGGCCAUGGGGGUGCUCCAAAUCAAAUUCUGAGCAGAUAGGAGAAUUUUUACCUUUUUUGGCUGUCGAAAGUUGCUCUGGCGUGGCGGCGGGCAGCGAUCGGCUCCCUUCUCUAGCGAUUGGUUCUUCUUCUCUGGCUGGAGACUAGUGGCUAGGGUUUGGGUUCAGUGUGAUGUGCGAUAUUUGUACCCAUCUCGCUUAAAUCUGGACCAUUCAUCACGUUUGAUCUCGUCCGUAUGAUCGCGUUUAAAGAAAAAAUGAAUCUGGAUCGUUCAUCGCGAUUUGAUCUCGACCAUCCGAUCGCGUUUAAAGAGGGAACAAAUUUGAGCCGUUCAUCACAUUUAAUCGUGACCGUCCGAUCGAGCAUGAGGAGGGAACGGAAUUGGACCGUCCAUGCGCGCGAGAAUGCUUAUGAGUCAUCCGAUCGUGGGCACGUAGAUUGCCAGCGUGGCCUCACGCUUGGCGCUGAGUCUGCGUGCCUUGCCACGCAGCAUGCUCCAGUUCGUUGGGGCUACUGACUAGGCGGUCCUACGUGGCAAAUUUUUUUUUAAUUACGUUUUGACCCCUAAUUUCUAAUUUUUCUUUCUUAAAUACCAUUCGAACCCAAAUUUUCACUAUUUUUUCCUAAAAUUAUU
rnacentral:lncRNA from 1 species